rnacentral:rRNA from 1 species
CAACUUUCAACAACGGAUCUCUUGGCUCUCGCAUCGAUGAAGAACGCAGCGAAAUGCGAUAAGUAAUGUGAAUUGCAGAUUUCAGUGAAUCAUCGAAUCUUUGAACGCACCUUGCGCUCUUUGGUAUUCCGAAGAGCAUGCCUGUUUGAGUGUCAUUA